rnacentral:rRNA from 1 species
CGUCAAAUCAGCACGGCCUUUAUGUCCAGGGCUACACACGUGUUACAAUGGCCAAUACAGAGGGCAGCGACAUUGUGAAAUGGAGCGAAUCUUCAAAGUUGGUCUUAGUUCGGAUCGGAGUCUGCAACUCGACUCCGUGAAGCUGGAUUCGCUAGUAAUCGCAGAUCAGCCAUGCUGCGGUGAAUACGUUCCCGGGCCUU